rnacentral:lncRNA from 1 species
CCUCUAUUAUUUAUUCUGUAAAGUAUGGGAACUGAACCUCAAAAGAAGGUUUUUGUCAGUUUGACAAUGCAUAGUAAAAUAAUUGCCUUUUAAAUUCAUUCCUUAGAAGAAGCAAAAAGAAGAAAAGAAGUUCCAGAAAAGAAAGCUAUUCAUGAAGUUAAAACAAAAGGUACUACCUUAUUUUAAAAUGUGGCAGUUAAUUUACCCACUCUUCAGAGACCUCUGCCUAUUAUAAUUCCUAAAGAAAUAGAAAUAAAAAUAAUUUAUGGUUCGUGUCUUAGAAGCAGAAGAAAGAAAAAAGGUAACUCACAAGAAGAAAAUUAUUCCUGAAAUUAAAGGGAAAGCUUUGGAACAGGAAAAGAAGGUAACCCAAGAGAAGAAAGCUAUUUCUGAAACAAAAAUUAAAGGGGGAAAAGAAGAAAGAAAGAAAGCUCUUGAGAAAACAGCUGUCCCUGAAGUUAAAAAGGCAGAACCAGAAAAAGCUCCUGCAGCCCAUCCAGCUUCUGUGAAGGUAGCUGUGCGAGAACCAUUCAAGAAAGAAAAGCCAGUCGAAAGAGCCAAGCAGCCAGUGAAGGAUGUGCCUGUAAAAGCAUCAGUUACACAAGAAACUCAUAAACCAAAAGAAACAGAACUAACCAAAAUAGAACCUGCUGCCCAUUUGACUAAAAAAGCAGUACAUGAAAAGAAAGAAGACAGAUUAUUAAAGGCAGUGGAGCAAGACAAACCAAAAUCCAAAGAAACAAAAGAUAUCAGAGGGAAAGAAGCAAAACAUGUGGCACCAAAAGUCAAAGAUGUUGCAAAAGAAAAAGUGAAGUCUCCUACUACUGUGAAAGAAAAAGAGGCAGUAAAACCAAAGGAAGUAAAGCCUACCAUUCCCCAGAAGCAGAAAGGACAAGAGGUUCUUAAGCACGACAAAGGAGCUCCUCAAGGAAAGCCAGAAGAAAUCACAGUAGCAGAUAAGAAAAAAGCAGAAAAGCCUUUGAAGGAAAAAGACAGAAAAAUGGCAGCGGUGACUCAUUUGAAAGAAGAAAAAGCCAAGGUCCCAGCAGUAAAAGAAUCCCAUCACCAUCGUAACAUGACAACAGACAAGCUUUCAAAGGCUUCAAAAGCAACAGCUGCUGUCCGCUACUAUCAGUGUGUCUUUGUAAAUGGAUACAAUGACUACAAACCGCAACACCCUGUUACCCCUGCCCAGGACUACAAAGGAAAGGCCGGGCAGACAAAAAAUUCUGGGCACAAGAUCAAGACACUGAAACAAUAG